UACGUAGGGUGCAAGCGUUGUCCGGAAUUAUUGGGCGUAAAGGGCUCGUAGGCGGUCCAUCGCGUCGGGAGUGAAAAGCUGGGGCUCAACCCCAGUCCUGCUUUCGAUACGGGUGGACUAGAGGUAGGCAGGGGAGAACGGAAUUCCUGGUGUAGCGGUGAAAUGCGCAGAUAUCAGGAGGAACACCGGUGGCGAAGGCGGGACUCUGGGCCGAUACUGACGCUGAGGAGCGAAAGCCAGGGGAGCAAACGGG
rnacentral:rRNA from 1 species